GUGCUUGCUUUGGCAGAACAUACGGAACAACACAGAGAAGAUUAGCAUGGCCCCUGUGCAAGGUUGACACGGCAUUCGUGAAGGGUUCCAUGUUUCU
rnacentral:snRNA from 1 species